AACGUAGGUGGCGAGCGUUAUCCGGAUUUACUGGGCGUAAAGCGUGUGCAGGCGGGGGUCCAAGUGGUGUAUGAAAUUUCCCGGCUUAACCGGGAAGGGUUAUGCCAGACUGGACUUCUGGAGUGCGAGAGAGGGGCGUGGAAUUCCGGGUGUAGUGGUGAAAUGCGUAGAGAUCCGGAGGAACCCCAGAGGCGAAGGCGGCGCCCUGGCUCGCAACUGACGCUCAGACACGACAGCAUGGGGAGCGGAACGGG
rnacentral:rRNA from 1 species